UACGAAGGGGACUAGCGUUGUUCGGAAUUACUGGGCGUAAAGCGCACGUAGGCGGAUUGCUAAGUCAGGGGUGAAAUCCCGGGGCUCAACCUCGGAACUGCCUUUGAUACUGACAAUCUCGAGUCCGAUAGAGGUGGGUGGAAUUCCUAGUGUAGAGGUGAAAUUCGUAGAUAUUAGGAAGAACACCGGUGGCGAAGGCGGCCCACUGGAUCGGUACUGACGCUGAGGUGCGAAAGCGUGGGGAGCAAAC
rnacentral:rRNA from 2 species